CCUUUGGUGCAAUGUGCACACACUUCUGGUUGUCUGUUUCUUCUGUUCCACCUGUGCACUGCCUGUAGACACUCUGUGUCUAUGAUAUUGGUUACACACACAUGAUGUUUUGCAUAUUGGUUACAUAUGUAUGAUAAUAUACAACUUUCAACAACGGAUCUCUUGGCUCUCGCAUCGAUGAAGAACACAGCGAAAUGUGAUAAGUAAUGUGAAUUGCAGAAUCCAGUGAAUCAUCGAAUCUUUGAACGCAUCUUGCGCUCCUUGGCAUUCCGAGGAGCAUGCCUGUUUGAGUGUCAUUAAACUAUCAAAGCACCUUUCCUGGGGUGUUUUGGACUUUGGGAGUAUUUUGCUGGCCUGUUUGAGCCAGCUCUCCUCAAAAGCAUUAGCUUUGGAGACCAUCAGUGUGAUAACUCUCUUUACACUGACUGAGUGUGUCUCUGCUUCUUAAAUAUGCUGGACACCCUUUGACCUCAAAUCAGGUAGGACUACCCGCUGAACUUAAGCAUAUCAAUAAGCGGAGGAA
rnacentral:rRNA from 1 species